rnacentral:rRNA from 1 species
GACGAACGCUGGCGGCGUGCUUAACACAUGCAAGUCGAACGGAAAGGCCCUGCUUUUGUGGGGUGCUCGAGUGGCGAACGGGUGAGUAACACGUGAGUAACCUGCCCUUGACUUUGGGAUAACUUCAGGAAACUUGGGCUAAUACCGGAUAGGAGCUCCUUCUGCAUGGUGGGGGUUGGAAAGUUUCGGCGGUUGGGGAUGGACUCGCGGCUUAUCAGCUUGUUGGUGGGGUAGUUGCUUACCAAGGCUUUGACGGGUAGCCGGCCUGAGAGGGUGACCGGCCACAUUGGGACUGAGAUACGGCCCAGACUCCUACGGGAGGCAGCAGUGGGGAAUAUUGCACAAUGGGCGGAAGCCUGAUGCAGCAACGCCGCGUGCGGGAUGACGGCCUUCGGGUUGUAAACCGCUUUCGCCUGUGACGAAGCGUGAGUGACGGUAAUGGGUAAAGAAGCACCGGCUAACUACGUG